UAAUCUCUUUGACUUGAAAACACCAAACUUUAUAUGAAUUUUUCAAUUUUGUCUCAUGUCUUUGUUACUAAUCUUUUUUUUUUUGCAGGUUUUUAAUUAUUUGAUACUCAUCUUCCACUAAUUUAAAGGUAGAUCUAUUAUUUUAGAUAUGUAUUUUUGUGUGUUCUUUAAAGGUAGAUUUAUCUAAUCUUCCACUCAUUUUUUUCUGUUUUUAAGCCAUUUGAACGUUUUUGAAUAUGCAGGUUUUUCAGAUCUGGAUUUAAUAUGCAGGUUUUUCAGAUCUGGAAGACUUCUGGGACGACUUACUUGUUAGUCGUCUGGAAGUCAUCUGGAAGUCGUCUGGAAGUCGUCUGGACUUCCUAU
rnacentral:lncRNA from 1 species